UUGCACGGUGAGCAGCAAGAGUGCUUCAGUUCCUUGGUUCUGACUGCUACUGUAAUGUCUGUUCUUUUCCUCUACACUGAAAAGGCUAUUUAUGUAUCCUUUUAAAAGUAUUGAGAAAGUCAGCACACUA
ensembl:snoRNA